AUGAGGAAAAGCCCUCCAACACCCCAAUGUACAGGAAAGAGAAGCCUCUCUCCAGUUGCCAGGAAAGCCCUGCUUUCCAGCUGCACAACCAGUAUUAUCACUGUGUGCUAUUUUUGGCUGCUGAGUACAUUUCAAGUCACGUCAUCCUUCCCAAGCCAACACUGGCAUGAAGGGCGGAAACUCAUCUUUCCACUCCUUUGUCAUCUGCUUCUGCUCCCGUCUGCUCGCUGGCACUGCCUGCUCAGUCCCCACGGCAGAGGGGUCUCCAGACAUUUUUCCCUGAUCCUCCCCAUUUCCUUGAGCGAGUGGCUUUCCAACCAAAGCUUCGGGUGGGAGGCUUCAUGUUGGCAUCCAGAGUACAUGUCCCAAAUAUGUCCAGACCCACCUUCUGAUCGUAGUGCACAGGAGCUCCUGACAGUUGACGGUAGCUGUCCUCCUUCAAUACUGAGGAAAAGACCACCUGUGGACCAAGCUGUGGGGGAAAAAAGGAAAGCAGAGAGAAGGGUUCGAUUUCGUGAGCCAGAAGAAGUCAUUGAACAUGUUAUUUCCUGCUGUGACUACGUAGUGGUGCAUGACAGGUCAUCAUCUGGAUUGCCUGUGCUCCUGGGGCUCUCCUUUUGUGCUGUGCUGAUCCUGGCUGCGAGUCUCUACUACACCAGCAUGAAGCAAGACACCAAAGUCCUGGAGGAGUUUCAAUCCCGACUUGUUAUCUUCUUUCUUCAGAUAAGACACGUUGCUCAUAAAUGCUGGACUUGGUUUAUGAGGCAGUAGCGAUGUCCUCCAUCUGCAGAAAGCCUGACAGACAUCUCAGAGCACUGGUAAUCAUCAUACGACAGAGCAAAGCUCCCUGUCAACUCAGUCCCCAUGCAAGGAACACGAGCAUCCAACUCAAAGAACAAGAAAACCACCCCUCUUGUGCACCUUCCAGCAGCUGCUUGUUCUCCUUUCCUUUCUUCUUUUUCCUUAACAUUACUGAAUGAUAAUAGUAGCACCAAGAGGUCCCACCAAACUGAUGCUCCAUCAUCCUUAACAGCAAACAAGUGCCUGAGUUUUGUCCCCCAAAGAGCUUAUAAACUGCUGUUAUGAGGAGCAGAGGCAGAGAGAGAAAUUCAUUGAUCUGUGCAGGCAGCAGCACAGUAUGAAUAAAAGUCUCCCGAGUCUCA
rnacentral:lncRNA from 1 species